rnacentral:rRNA from 1 species
UACGUAGGGCGCAAGCGUUGUCCGGAAUUAUUGGGCGUAAAGAGCUCGUAGGCGGUUUGUCGCGUCUGCUGUGAAAACUCGGGGCUUAACUCCGGGCCUGCAGUGGGUACGGGCAGACUAGAGUGCGGUAGGGGAGACUGGAAUUCCUGGUGUAGCGGUGAAAUGCGCAGAUAUCAGGAGGAACACCGGUGGCGAAGGCGGAUCUCUGGGCCAUUACUGACGCUGAGGAGCGAAAGCGUGGGGAGCGAACAGG